rnacentral:rRNA from 1 species
ACUCAAAGGAAUUGACGGGGGACCGCACAAGCAGAGGAUGAUGUGGUUUAAUUUGACGAUACGCGGAGAACCUCACCAAGGCUUGACAUCCUAGGAAUCUGCUAGAAAUAGCGGAGUGCCUUUUGGAGCCUAGUGACAGGUGCUGCAUGGCCGUUGUCAGCUCGUGUCGUGAGAUGUUGGGUUAAGUCCCGCAACGAGCGCAACCCUUGCCGUAUGUUGUAUUUUUCAUACGGGACUGCCCGGGGCAACCGGGAGGAAGGCGGGGAUGACUUCAGGUCUGCAUGGCCCUUACGCCUUGGGCUACACACGUCAUACAAUGGCCAGUACAACGCGUUGCCAACCCGCGAGGGGGAGCUAAUCGCACCAAAACUGGUCUCAGUUCGGAUUGGAGGCUGCAACUCGCCUCCAUGAAGUCGGAUUUGCUAGUAAACGUAGGUCAGCACACUACGUUGAAUACGUUCCCGGUCCUUGUACACACCGCCCGU